rnacentral:rRNA from 1 species
AACGAACGCUGGCGGCAUGCCUAACACAUGCAAGUCGAACGGGACCUUCGGGUCUAGUGGCGCACGGGUGCGUAACGCGUGGGAAUCUGCCCUUGGGUUCGGAAUAACAGUGAGAAAUUACUGCUAAUACCGGAUGAUGUCUUCGGACCAAAGAUUUAUCGCCCAGGGAUGAGCCCGCGUAGGAUUAGGUAGUUGGUGGGGUAAUGGCCUACCAAGCCGACGAUCCUUAGCUGGUCUGAGAGGAUGAUCAGCCACACUGGGACUGAGACACGGCCCAGACUCCUACGGGAGGCAGCAGUGGGGAAUAUUGGACAAUGGGCGCAAGCCUGAUCCAGCAAUGCCGCGUGAGUGAUGAAGGCCUUAGGGUUGUAAAGCUCUUUUACCAGGGAUGAUAAUGACAGUACCUGGAGAAUAAGCUCCGGCUAACUCCGUGCCAGCCGCCGCAGUAACAC